CACGCCGUAAACUAUGAUUACUAGCUGUUUGCGAUAUAUUGUAAGCGGCACAGCGAAAGCGUUAAGUAAUCCACCUGGGGAGUACGCCGGCAACGGUGAAACUCAAAGGAAUUGACGGGGGCCCGCACAAGCGGAGGAACAUGUGGUUUAAUUCGAUGAUACGCGAGGAACCUUACCCGGGCUCGAACGGUUGAGCAAUAAUGAUGAAAGUCAUUAGCUAGCGAUAGGCUCAGUCGAGGUGC
rnacentral:rRNA from 1 species